rnacentral:rRNA from 1 species
GACGAACGCUGGCGGCGUGCCUAAUACAUGCAAGUCGAACGCUCUCGACCUUCGGGUCAUAUGAGAGAGUGGCGAACGGGUGCGUAACACGUGAGAAACCUGCCCUGAAGACGGGAAUAACUCGAGGAAACUCGUGCUAAUACCCGAUGCCCUCCCUGGACCGCAUGGUCCGUUGAGGAAAUGCUCAGGCGCUUCAGGAGGGUCUCGCGGCCUAUCAGCUUGUUGGUGAGGUAACGGCUCACCAAGGCAUCGACGGGUAGCUGGUCUGAGAGGACGAUCAGCCACACUGGGACUGAGACACGGCCCAG